rnacentral:rRNA from 1 species
UCCGUAGGGGGCGAUCGUUGCCCGAAUUUACUGGGCGUAAAGCGCACGUAGGCGGCUCCGUAAGUCUGGUGUGAAAUCUCACGGCUCAACCGAGAGGCUGCACCAGAUACUGCGAAGCUCGAGGACGGGAGAGGAGAUUGGAAUUCCCGGUGUAGCGGUGAAAUGCAUUGAUAUCGGGAGGAACACCAGUGGCGAAGGCGGAUCUCUGGCCCGUUGCUGACGCUGAGGUGCGAAAGCUGGGGGAGCGAAAGGG